UCUCCAUCCUUGGUCAUUUGCUGCUU
rnacentral:piRNA from 1 species